rnacentral:rRNA from 1 species
AUUGAACGCUGGCGGAAUGCUUUGCACAUGCAAGUCGAGCGGCAGCGCGGGGGCAACCCUGGCGGCGAGCGGCGAACGGGUGAGUAACACAUCGGAACGUACCCAGUUGUGGGGGAUAGCCCGGCGAAAGCCGGAUUAAUACCGCAUACGACCUGAGGGGGAAAGGGGGGGACCGCAAGACCUCUCGCAGUUGGAGCGGGCGAUGGCGGAUUAGCUAGUUGGUGAGGUAAAGGCUCACCAAGGCGAGGAUCCGUAGCUGGUCUGAGAGGACGGCCAGCCACACUGGAACUGGGACACGGUCCAGACUCCUACGGGAGGCAGCAGUGGGGAAUUUUGGACAAUGGGGGCAACCCUGAUCCAGCCAUUCCGCGUGAGUGAAGAAGGCCUUCGGGUUGUAAAGCUCUUUCGGCAGGAACGAAACGGUGAGGGUUAAUACCCCUUAUCAAUGACGGUACCUGAAGAAGAAGCACCGGCUAACUACGUGCCAGCCGCCGCAGUAAAAC